AGAGUUUGAUCCUGGCUCAGAUUGAACGCUGGCGGCAGGCCUAACACAUGCAAGUCGAGCGGCAGCACGGGUACUUGUACCUGGUGGCGAGCGGCGGACGGGUGAGUAAUGCCUAGGAAUCUGCCUGGUAGUGGGGGAUAACGCUCGGAAACGGACGCUAAUACCGCAUACGUCCUACGGGAGAAAGCAGGGGACCUUCGGGCCUUGCGCUAUCAGAUGAGCCUAGGUCGGAUUAGCUAGUUGGUAGGGUAAAGGCCUACCAAGGCGACGAUGGGUAGCUGGUCUGAGAGGACGAUCAGCCACACUGGAACUGGUACACGGUCCAGACUCCUACGGGAGGCAGCAGUGAGGAAUAUUGCGCAAUGGGGGAAACCCUGACGCAGCGAUGCCGCGUGGGUGAAGAAGGCCUUCGGGUCGUAAAGCCCUGUCAGGCGGGAAGAAUAGCCUGGGGACGAAUAAUCCCCAGGUGUGACGGUACCGCUGAAGGAAGCACCGGCUAACUCCGUGCCAGCAGCCGCGGUAAGACGGAGGGUGCGAGCGUUAUUCGGAAUUAUUGGGCGUAAAGGGUGUGCAGGCGGCCGGACAAGUCAGAGGUGAAAGCCCGGGGCUCAACCUCGGAAGUGCCUUUGAAACUGUUUGGCUUGAGUUCGGGAGAGGGAAGCGGAAUUCCGGGUGUAGAGGUGAAAUUCGUAGAUAUCCGGAGGAACACCGGUGGCGAAGGCGGCUUCCUGGACCGAAACUGACGCUGAGACACGAAAGCGUGGGGAGCAAACAGGAUUAGAUACCCUGGUAGUCC
rnacentral:rRNA from 1 species